CCUACGGGCGACUGCAGUGGGGGAUAUUGCACAAUGGGGGAAACCCUGAUGCAGCGACGCCGCGUGUGGGAAGACGGUCCUCUGGAUUGUAAACCACUGUCCCCAGGGACGAAAAUGACGGUACCUGGGGAGGAAGCUCCGGCUAACUACGUGCCAGCAGCCGCGGUAAUACGUAGGGAGCGAACGUUGUCCGGAAUUACUGGGUGAAAAGGGAGCGUAGGCGGGGAUGCAAGUUGGGUGUCAAAACUACCGGCUCAACUGGUAGUCGCACUCAAAACUGCAGCUCUUGAGUGAAGUAGAGGCAGGCGGAAUUCCUAGUGUAGCGGUGAAAUGCGUAGAUAUUAGGAGGAACACCAGUGGCGAAGGCGACUUUCUGGACUGUAACUGACGCUGAGGCACGAAAGUGUGGGGAGCAAACAGGAUUAGAUACCCGAGUAGUC
rnacentral:rRNA from 1 species